rnacentral:rRNA from 1 species
AAAUUUGAGAGGAGCUGUCCUUAGUACGAGAGGACCGGGAUGGACAUACCUCUGGUGUACCAGUUGUCGUGCCAACGGCAUAGCUGGGUAGCUAUGUGUGGACGGGAUAAGUGCUGAAAGCAUCUAAGCAUGAAGCCCCCCUCAAGAUGAGAUUUCCCAACUUCGGUUAUAAGAUCCCUCAAAGAUGAUGAGGUUAAUAGGUUCGAGGUGGAAGCAUGGUGACAUGUGGAGCUGACGAAUACUAAUCGAUCGAAGACUUAAUCAAAA